AUGGAAACAGAGGUGUCCAAGCAGUUGGAGGCCAGAAGAUCAUGAGAUCAAGAAUCCCUUUGCGGUUACGAAGGCUAUUUGCCAGCCUAUACUGUUGCUGCAUUUACGAAUACGUUGCCUAGCCUGACCUGUGAACAGGGUUGCUUAAGAGAUCAACACUUCGGAGGGUUAUUGUCGUCACCAAGUAGAGCACUGUUGGUGUGUUUCAAGGAGUGUUUUGAACUUUGAGAUGACUCAGUUAGUUAAGGAUCCCUGGCUCUUAUAUGGUUCUCACCACCAGGCUGCCUGCCACGAAGCAGCACAUCACGAUGCCCCUUGCCAGAGGAUGAAUGGAUGGAACCAGCAGAUCUUUCAUUAGCCUCUGACACUGUAUGCCGAAAACUUUUCUCUAUAAAGUAGCUAGCAUUGGAUAUGUUAUUAUAGCAAAUAAAAUGAGAUCAUUUAUAUGAU
ensembl:lincRNA